UCUGGGUAGCUUAAAAUUAAAGCUUAAUAUUGAAGAUAUUAGUAUAAGUUAAUACUUUCUAGAUA
rnacentral:tRNA from 1 species